UAGAGUGACACGUCUGAGCCUGCGCCUCAGUUAGUGUGGUAUGGUGGUUUGGACUUCCUAGUUGCUGACUAUCUCUCAGAGAUAACACUGUCCCUACUGGCUGGAGCUAAAAGAAAGAAACCAGAUAUGGGCUAUACUCCUGAUUUCAUAUCUCACUGUAUCAAACCACUCAUUCAUGACAUCAAGAAGCAAGGUAUGUGGAGGAUGUGUAUGUAUGUCAUGCAUCUGAGGGGUACCGGGUGGAGUUAUCGGUUGCCAUGGUAACCAGAGAUGACAUGAUAAAGGACAUAAGUGGAAGAAUAAUUAUAUUUUUUUCCAAGUUAUUGGUGUUAUUAUGUGGUACAGGUGAAGGAGAUUAAGGAUAGUGGAUAUGCUGUUGAUAUCGAAUCAGGUCUGACAUUACCCUCAUCUGUACUGAGCAUGAAUGCUUAUAUUGGGUAAGAGUAAGACCCUUUAAUUAAUUCUAAGUCAGUGGAGCCAUUAUACUUAAAGACAGUAAAGUUAUAGAGAUCUCUUGUGAAAAAUCUCAGCAAGAUCUUGUUAAGUUUCUUUAAAAUUCUUCACAAGAUUCUUGCUAAUAUUACAUAAGAUUUUACCUGAUUUUGAAACAAGGAUCAUGUAAGAUAGCGUUAGAUCUUGCUAUCAAAGUGUAAGCAAGAUUUUACAGGAUCUUUUUCAAGAUCUUACCAAAUUUUUAGAAGAUCCAGCAAGAUCUUACCUUAAGAUCACGGCAAGAUCGUACCUGAUUUCGAAACAAAGAACAUGAAAGAUAUCAUGAGAUUUUGCUUUAUCAAGAUUUAAAAAUAUUAGCUGAGUUCUUACACGAAGUUUCAGCUUAUGAAAAAUGGAUGUAACAGUAAAGGGCAAUGCACACGGACAAAUUAA